UAUUUAUAUAGUUAAACUGCACCGGUGCAUGAUGGUUAUGUUCUUCAAAAGGCUGUGGCAACAUCUCCAAUUGGAGGAGAAUUUCUUACAGACUGCUUGAUGAAAAGCUUGGAAAGCAAGGGUAUUGUGAUGAAACCUCGAUAUUCCUUUAGGAGAAAGGAAAUUCGCCCGGGAGAUUUUCAGGUAUUAUGUGUUUUCAUGUUUGUGACCUGUUAGUAACAUAUAUAUUUUCUUCCACUUUCUUGCAAUAAUGUGAGUGUAAGUAUCAAUGAUUCCACCACCCUGCCACCGCCUCCCACACAAUAAAGUUGAACCUCGACAAUAUGGGAUUCCAGACCCUGUAUAAAUUUCUUAAAUGUUGUUCUGUUCAUCAAUCAAUCAAAAGUUAGAACAUUUGCAUGUGGCAGUACACUACUUCUAUGUGAAUUGAGCUGAUUAAUUUCUGACCUGUUGUUACUUGAAGUAAGUAGGA